AGCUUUAAGGUGCGUGCCAAGUGCGUAAAGCUUUUCAAAGGCGUUGAACUUUUGGGAGAUCUUUCGGGUUUUUAUACUACUAGUAUUAGUUGGGGGUUAUAAUAGUAUAAUAUAUACUGCAAUUUAUUUUAUUUUGAAUAAAAAGUUAUCAUUUUUCUAUUUAUUUUCUUUAAAAAAGUUAUCAUAAGUAAAAAUGAUAGAAGAGAAUAAAAUAAAUUUCUAUUAAAGUCUCUACAUGCCUUUAAAUUUAUAAAAACUUAAAUGCCUUCCCUGAAAUACCCUCUCUUUAAACCACCCCCCUUUUUCCCCUCAAGAAAGUCUCCCCACAAGGUGAGAACAGAAGAUGCUCUCCUUUACUCGAAAGUCUCCAAGUUUUCUUCAAGAGAGCGUGACACCUUUCGUCAGCGCCUGCUCUCACGUGGAGUCUGCUCUCACCGAUCGCAGGUUCCUUUUUAAUCCUUUCUGAGUCACCACAUCAUUCCCGUUUUGGUCGUCCGGGCGUUCGGUGCUUUUCGGUAUUUGUGAUUUGUGAUUAUAAUUAAUCAGUGUUUUAAAUUAAAGACUUCUUUAUAUCAUUUCGUGUAAUUAAAGUGAGUUAAUACAAUUUUUAAUCAUAUUUUCACGUGCCCCAUUUUUACGUCGCAAAAAAGUGCAAUCCCCCCAUAAAAAUGUAAUCCUUGCAUCUGGGGUUAUCUAUUUUAUAUCUGUGUCUUGAUUAAAUAAAGGUUUUAAGUGUAAUUUGUGGUGUUAUUUGAAAUGUGAUGAAAUUCGUUGAUGAAGAGGCCCCCCUCUUUUUUAUUUUUUUUUGGAGUGCAAGUGUAAGUGAAAGAGAGCCCCCAAAGGGCCUGCAAAGUACCGUAAGCAGAUUAACAAGAGUGUUUACAAUUUACAUUGAAAAUGAGUGAGAGAGAAAGGGAUGUAAAUAGUAUCCAUUAAAGGACAAAUUGGAAGAACAGUUAAAGGACAACCAGCUUCCCAGGACCUGCACCCACAAGGGAAUGAAAGGAAUUAACGCGAAAGUUCAGAGGUCAAGGGGAAGCCACUACUGCUACUGCUGCUACUGCUGCUACUGCCUUGGAGGUGGCAACUGGCCAUAUAAUUUUAAUUGCAAAAACCAACAAAUUGCAUUUGCCCGAGGGAAGCCACCAGAAAGGAUAUUCCAGCAGUCCUCUGGCCCUCUCUCUCUCUAUGGCGGAAUUAUUCAGUAAUAUAUCCUGGAUAGCCUGUAGAAUCAUUUAUUAAAAAUAUUUCCAUUGAAUCUGCGCCUGCCAUCGAAUGUCCUUCGGCCGUCCAGCAAACAAAAAAAGAAAAAGGAUAUCGCCAACAAUGCGAUUUCUUUCUCAAAGGCUUUGAUUGACAUUCUGGAAUGCUGCUUUUGAUAAAAGGACCAAAAAGGAUGAAAGGACGAAAAGGACGUCGUGCAAAGUGCUGACAUGGCACGGCUCGGACGCAGAAUUAAUGAUGGCCAGACACUAGAUUUUUAAUUUUGAAGAAGACCAGCCCAGGACGCCCAGGACUCAAUAUUAAUGGCUCUGCCAGGACACACAUGACAGGAUAACGACUCUGCCGCUGACAUCUUUGUGCUUAAACUCGCUAAGAAGUAUUGGAAGAAAAGUACUUUAUGGCCAGGACUCUUCUACACACGUGUCCUUGCACACAUUGGCAGGACACACACUCACACAUGUGCGGCUCUCCAUUUGACCUCUGUAACUCUGCAACUGUCAACGGGGCGUUAAGUGCUCUGGGCUCAGGACUCAGGACUCUGGAUUCAGAGCUCAGGACUUUAAGGUGGCCCCAAAGCGGCUCUUUUGCGGCUCUCUUUGGAUGAAGAAGAAUUAGCAAGAAGGACUAGAGAAGGACUGGAAUUAAGUUUAAAUUUUGGCUUUGGAAGUAGGCUUCUCUGGAGAGAGUCUAAAAGUGGUAAUAGAGUGGCUUACUGGGCGUAUGAGUAAUGUUUUUGAAGAAAUUUAAGUAAUAUAUUUGUAUUUUGUUUCUAACAAGUGAUUUUUAAAGAUUAU